AAUCUCACAUACAUACAUACAUAGAUACAUACAUACCUAUACAUGAACCCGGAAAACAUUGCACUCCUUUUUUGAGCAGUCAUGUAAAAACAAGGGUUUU